UAAUUGGAGAUAAACAUCUAAAAAUCAUUUUUCUGAAAAUUAAUUUUGUAAAAGUUGGUUUGGAAGCCCUCGAUCUCACUAAAAUUGCAAUCUGGCACCGUAAACUUCACUUUCUUUCCUGCAAAAGAAACUGAUGCGAAAGAAAUUUUCCCACCAAACGAACGAGCUGAGAAUCUGUCUUGUGCUCAAUGCCUCCUCUGAAGAAGAUAAAGAAAUCGAAACGGGAUGCCAAGAAACUGAAGAAACGGAGAAGCGUAAGCGUAGUUCCCACUGACAGUAAAGCAGCCAAUGACUCCGACUGGUGGGAUAGUUUUUGGCACAAGAACUCUCCAACCUUAGAGUCACCAGUACCUUUUGAUGAGGCAGAAGGAUUCAAAUAUUUCUUUCGCAUAUCGAAGAAAACAUUUGAUUACAUAUGUUCACUUGUCCGAGAAGAUCUUAUUUCGAGACCGCCUUCUGGUCUCAUCAACAUUGAGGGGAGGCUGCUCAGUGUUGAGAAACAAGUUGCUAUUGCCCUACGAAGGUUGGCCUCUGGGGAGUCCCAAGUUUCAGUGGGAGCCUCCUUUGGAGUUGGCCAGUCCACAGUAUCCCAGGUAACUUGGCGAUUCAUUGAAGCGUUAGAAGAGCGUGCCAAGCACCAUCUCAAGUGGCCUGAUCCUGUUAGAAUGGAGGAAAUUAAGUCCAAAUUUAAGGCAUCUUUUGGAUUGCCCAGUUGUUGUGGGGCCAUAGAUGCAACCCAUAUUGUCAUGACCCUUCCAGCAGUUGAAACUUCAGAUGACUGGUGUGACCAGGAGAAAAACUACAGCAUGUUUUUGCAAGGAAUAGUUGAUGGUGAUAUGAGAUUUCUUGAUAUUGUGACUGGUUGGCCUGGGGGUAUGCCUAUUUCUAGACUACUGAAGUUUUCGGGAUUUUACAAACUCUGUGAUGGUGGCCAUCGCUUGAAUGGAAAUGCAAUAACGACUCCCGACGGAGCACAGAUUAAAGAAUAUAUUGUGGGUGGAGUUAAUUACCCUCUUCUUCCAUGGCUCAUUACACCUUAUGAAAGUGGUGACGUCUCAACCGAGGUAUCGGAUUUCAAUAGAAUGCAUGAGGCUGCUAGGUCGCUUGCAGUGAAAGCAUUGUCACAGUUAAAGGGAAGUUGGAGAAUCCUUAGUAAGGUUAUGUGGAGACCAGAUAAGCAGAAAUUGCCGAGUGUUAUCUUGGUCUGUUGUUUACUUCACAAUAUUAUUAUCGACAGUGGAGACAAUUUACGUGCAGAUGUUGCCUUAUCUGGUCACCAUGAUUCGGGCUAUGUCGAACAGUGCUGUAAGCAAGUUGAUCCAUUGGGGAAAACCAAGAGGGAAGACUUGGUUAAACACUUGCAGCUUAGCAAACAGAAUGCUCUGCCCAAUUAGUUUGCUUCCCAUUGGACUUUCAAGGCCAAUUGCGGUCAUUUUGGUCUAGCUUAGUUUUCAGUCAGAUCAUCGUUCUUCAACUGUAAUAUAAACUGUGCUUUCAUGUUGGAUUUGAUGAAAUUUGAAAAAGUCGCUAGUCUUGGUUUUGUUGACAAUGUGACAGAGAAGCCCUAGCAAAACAGUUAGAUCCUCAAGAGUUGAUGCAGGAGCUGUAUCUGGUGUUUUUGUCCAAAAGACCAAGAACCGAUAUUCUAUUCCCAGAUGCCUGCUCCCGAUAAACAGGAGUCUAUGUCAGGUGCUGGCACAGGAAACAAUCUGCAGUUCGUAUAGAGGCGUGGUCUUUGUUCUUUUCAGGAGACAAUUGCCAGGCCUAUGUUAAUUUGGCCAACCUAUUUCCCUUGGUUUUUGAUACACUCCUGUAACCUUUGAUUGUGGAGCUAAUAUUCCUGAACUGGGGUUUUGGAAGAAUUGGGAUUGGUUUGGUAAUUUACACUGAUAUUGCCCUACUGCCAAAA